rnacentral:rRNA from 1 species
UACGUAGGGUGCGAGCGUUAAUCGGAAUUACUGGGCGUAAAGCGUGCGCAGGCGGUUUUGUAAGCCAGAUGUGAAAGCCCCGGGCUUAACCUGGGAAUGGCAUUUGGGACUGCAAGGCUAGAGUGCGGCAGAGGAGACUGGAAUUCCUGGUGUAGCAGUGAAAUGCGUAGAUAUCAGGAGGAAUACCGAUGGCGAAGGCAGGUCUCUGGGCUGACACUGACGCUCAUGCACGAAAGCGUGGGGAUCAAACAGG